GCCUGGGUGGCUCAGUCGGUUGAGCGUCUGACUUCGGCUCAGGUCAUGAUCUCACGGUUUGUGGGUUCGAGCCCCACAUCAGGCU
rnacentral:tRNA from 1 species